rnacentral:lncRNA from 1 species
CAUGAGCCGCCCGCCUACGAGCAGAGCCUCAGCAACCCACAUCCCCACGGCAACCCCCACCCGCACCCACGCUCCCCCAGGACUGCCCGGCACGGGGGUGGCGUGGGCCCACCACCUCCACUUGCUCCCCCUCACCCCCGACGAGUCCCAAACGGUUACCGCUCGUCUUCGCCCUCCCCGCACCGGCGAGGGCCCCCACAUCAACACCCCCAUCCGGGAGGACCACCCCACAGGUCCCCCCCUCAUCACCGGGUCCCCCAUGGAGGCCCCAGAGGCCCCCGGAAGGGCCUGCACGAACCCUACAGCGAGACGGACGAGGACGACUGGUGCUAGCACAGCGAAGGAACAGAAGAACGAGGGAGGAGAGGAAGAGAGGAAAAGGAGGGAGGAGAGGAGUCUCUCCGUCUCCCCGUCCUCUGUUCUUCGUUAUGCAGACUUGAAUGAAGGGUAAAGGGAUGCAGAAGGGGUGAGGAAAGGAAAGGAAAGGAGGAGAGGAGAAUUUGGGAGAAGUCUCUCCAUCUCUCUACCUCUACACCUGAGACUCAGGCUUGGAUGGAAUGAUGAGGGAUGGAGGGAUGGUUAGAGGAGAGGAGGCACAGUGUGUGGGUGUGUGAGACUCUAAACUCAGAGCAGACAUGACAAAGAGAGACCGCUGUAAGGCAGAACAACGCACCUCUCCUCUUCUCCUCUGUCUCAACUACCAUACCGAGAGUUCUCAGCGUGCCCAGGGGGGAGUGGACCGAGGGAUGGUGGAGAGGUGCUGACGGAGGUGUGCAGAGGUGCUGACGGAGGUGUGGAGAGGGAAGAAAGAACAAAAGAAUGAAAGGAAGGGAGGAGCAUGUAUACUAAGUUACAAGUGGCCAAUGAACGGUAAAUAAAGCCCCUCUCCCAGACUGUUUAGGAGAUAGGUGGGUUAGUUAAGUUAAGCUAAACCUGGGUGCUCUUGCUGUUCUGUCAUUCUAUUCUACUAGCCUGAUAAGUGUUAGGAGCUAACAGCUAAACGCUAGCUAGCUAACACUGCUCUUGGUCUAACCUAGACGGACAUGUUUAAAAAAGAAAAACAAUGAAAACCCAUGCCAGGACCCCCUAUCCUUAUACACGCCAAGCUAUGCCUCCAGAAAAAUCUAACUUGAAGACUAAAGAACAGAAAACAAACUUUUAAAAAAAAAGAGGAGAAAAAAAGGGAGAACAACCACUUUAACUUAAACUUUCCUUAAAGGGACUAGAACCAGGAAGCUCCGCCUCUACUGCAAAAACCAGCCAAUGACAGAGCUGGCUGAUAUUUGAUGAGUUUUAUCAUCUCCUGUUUACUGUUACAGACUCACGAAAUGCUGACGACGGACCUGGUGUGACCUCACUUCCUGUGGGUGGGGCCUAGUGUGACAUCACGUCCUUUUCCGGUGGGUGGGGCCACAGGGGAGGGGCUGGGGGCAGAGUUAUGGACCCUUAGGGGGCGUAGUUUGUUUGCCCCCACUAUCUUCUCUCCCCCCUUCCUCUCUCCUCCAUCCUGCCGAAAAAGAAAGGACAGGAAAGGAAAAUGAUGGGAGGAGGAGCGGAAAGAAAGAAGGGGAGGGAAAAGACGAUUUCUUCAGUAUUUCUUCUAUCGAUUACUUCUUCUUCUUCUAGUUCUUCUUCUUGGACAUUGCAGCUUGGUUCUUCUGUUGCAUUCGCUCAAGCCUCUGUUAAUCCGUUAUGAUGCAUGAAGGAAUUUAACAACAAAAAAAUACCUAGAGAGAAAAUCUACUGUUGGGGAUAUGGGGGCAUAUUGGGUUUAUAGAACAUUUACAUUUUAGAUUUUGAUUGAAGAAGUUCUCUUUUUCUGACUCUCUCUCUCUCUCUCUCUGACUCUGUCUAUCAUCAUGCGUUUGUUUAUUGAGUAAAUGUUUGUUCUAUAUCACCCUAAGGAUCCGAUGGACAACCUUUUUUAAGUUUGAUUUCCACCCAAUAGGGUUUUAAAGCUACCAUUUUCUUAUCUUGAAAGUACUCCUAUGUUCCUGAGAUACUCCUAAAUUUUACUAAGAUACUCCUGUUGUACUAAGAUAUUCCUGAGUUGUUUUGAGGAAUAAGUAAGAAUUGAGAGAGCUAUGAGGAGAGAAAACUUCAACCUCUUUAAAUAAUUGAUUUGUAUUGUUAAUAAUGAUGAUAGUCCUAUAAAUACUGAUAUCAAUGUCAAUGCUAAACGAUGAAUGAUGAUAGUUGUUUGCCGUAGAUCUGUUGUCAUGUUUUUUGGAGUUUCAAUCUGCUGUGUCAUCUAGUUUUCAUCGUUUAUUUUCCUUGGGUUCUGUUCAAACUGUUCCCAAACUGUUCCCAAACUGCUCCCAAACUGUUCCAAAACGCCUUUAACCGGGUCCGAUACAUGCAACACGCAUAAACUUUUCAGGGAGGGGUUAGAUGUCGGAUUGUGAUUGUGAGCAACACAGAUAGAACUGUGUAGCGUUGUGUAACGCAGCUCUUUACCUCUGAUAGGUCCCCCCUCAGUGGUAGACAGAGAACCGGGGCCACGUUCAGUAGCCAAAUGUUGUCAAACGUUGCAGAUAGAAAUGUCAUUAACAGAGCCGACAUGGUUCUUCAUUCUACGUGUAAGAGACGCAUGUUUGUUCUAAAUAGCAUUUUUCUAUCCGAGCGUUCCAAAAACAUUGUGUCCUACUGAGUGCGCCCCAGUCAUAGCCAAAUCAACCGGCCAACCAACCAACCGUCAGACCUCCACACAGUAUCUGAUUUACAGCUGGCUGUGAACCAUAGAGUUAGAAAGAGGACUUAUAUCGGGUUAUAUCCACCUAGAGCCCUCUUUCUACCUCUAUGUUGUGAACGAGCUCCACCUCACAUCCCCAAGAGCUCUCCACUAGCUGUCUAGUCUCUCUGUCUUUCUGAUUCUCCAUCACAUGUUUAGCAUUGAGCUGCUUGCUUUACCAAGCCAGAGGAGAACAUUCUAGAAACAUUUUAGAAUCUCUAAGACGUUCUAGAAACUCUAGUCUAGACUCUAGAAACUCUAGUACAUUCUAGAGCAUUCUUUAGAGAGGUUAGCUAACAUGAUUGUAUCCAGAUGUUUUGGAUUAAAACAUAUUUAUUUUGCUAUGAUUACAAUUAUGUAGAUUGUAACAGAUAUUCCCUAUCAUAACUCGUAAAAUGAUAGAUACAAUAUAGAUAUAUAGAGAUAUAAAAGUUUAUAUAUUAUAGAGAGAAAAACGUACUUUUAUUUACUUCAAACACUCUAGCUACGAAGCUAGAGCUCAGAAACUCUCCAUUGAAAUCAGCUACACAGAUUCAAAUUGCACUUUGUCACUGUAGCUCCACACAAUAUCCCACUACAAACUCUAUGCAGAUCUAUCCAACAUUCAUUUCUCCUUUACCAUUAUAGUGCAGAGUAGUUGUGCCAUUAUAAAUAAAUGACAAUACGUAAGUGAGCGCAUAGAAAUGGAAUGUGUAGAACAGGCCUCCCAAUUCAAGUCAAUGAUGGCAUAUCUAUAGAUUAUAUUUCUAUGGGUCAGAUGGUGUAGUGUCAGAUAGUGUAUAUACAACAUUUUAAUAUAGAUGGAUAGAAGUAUAUAGAUAGAGGGUAUGCCCACAUCGUUUUGCUUUUGCACAAUCACUCACAAAAUCCUUAUCCUUCAUAGCACAUCUUUCCUUUAUUUUUUACCCUCCUGCAGUGUUUUGUCCUCUCCUGCUCCCUCUAUCGUUCUCCCAAGCUGUCCAAUCCCAUAUACCACCCCUGCCCUCCGUAUAGGUAGGUCCAGAGAGAGAGAGGGGGGGCCUACAUAUACCACCCCUGCCCUCCGUAUAGGUAGGUCCAGAGAGAGGGGGGGGCCUACAUAUACCACCCCUGCCCUCCAUAUAGGUAGGUCCAGAGAGAGAGAGGGGGGGCCUACAUAUACCACCCCUGCCCUCCGUAUAGGUAGGUCCAGAGAGAGGGGGGGGGGGCCUACAUAUACCACCCCUGCCCUCCGUAUAGGUAGGUCCAGAGAGAGAGGGGGGGCCUACAUAUACCACCCCUGCCCUCCGUAUAGGUAGGUCCAGAGAGAGGGGGGGGCUACAUAUACCACCCCUGCCCUCCGUAUAGGUAGGUCCAGAGAGAGGGGGGGGGGCUACAUAUACCACCCCUGCCCUCCGUAUAGGUAGGUCCAGAGAGAGAGAGGGGGGGGGGCCUACAUAUACCACCCCUGCCCUCCAUAUAGGUAGGUCCAGAGAGAGAGGGGGGGCUACAUAUACCACCCCUGCCCUCCGUAUAGGUAGGUCCAGAGAGAGGGGGGGCUACAUAUACCACCCCUGCCCUCCGUAUAGGUAGGUCCAGAGAGGGGGGGCUACAUAUACCACCCCUGCCCUCCGUAUAGGUAGGUCCAGAGAGAGAGGGGCCUACAUAUACCACCCCUGCCGUCCGUAUAGGUAGGUCCAGAGAGGGGGGGCUACAUAUACCACCCCUGCCCUCCGUAUAGGUAGGUCCAGAGAGGGGGGGGGUCCUACAUAUACCACCCCUGCCCUCUGUAUAGGUAGGUCCAGAGAGAGCGGGGGGCCUACAUAUACCACCCCUGCCCUCUGUAUAGGUAGGUCCAGAGAGAGGGGGGGGGACCUACAUCAGAGUGGUGUACCUACAUCAGAGAGGUGUUUAUCUACCCAGAAGCCCCAGUGCCUCAGUGCCUUCUGUUUUCAGAGUCACAUCUACCCUUCCCAGCUUGCCCCUCACCAUCCCCCUCGCCCCCUCCUGUGGUUGAUCAACAUCAAACACACUACGCCUUAAAGAGUCCUAGUCGCUGUCUGUGAGCAGGUAGCAGUUGGGAGCAAGGCAGUAGGGACUGGGCUUUGCUUAGUUGGUUGGAACAGUGAGUAAAGCGCAGGAAGAGAGGGGAAUGGAAACUACUUUUGGGGAUCUCCUUCGCCCAGUUUCACACAGUGUAGUGAGAUACUGUAAUUGCAGGGGCGAAAAGGCAAUGAUUUGUUUACUUCUCAGGUGUCUCUAGAGAUAGAUAGCUAGAUAGAUAGAAUCUACACUAUAUAAUAGGCACGCUAAGGCAGUUAGUCAGUUAUAUCAUAUAAUAUGAUAUAAAUUUAUAAAAUCACAUGAAAAAAUAUAGGCCUAGGGUUUGAGUUUCUGUAUGGUUUGUUAUCUGGCAUGGGCAUUUGUAAUGUCUUCCCUUCUUCCCUUAACCUCCAUUACAGACCACCUACCAUUCAUCAUGAAUCUGCCGCUGAAAACUACUUGCACUUGACACUGUGGGUGUCCACUUAUCAGGCAGGAAACUGAUUACUCCAUUUCGGCUCAACAACACCAACAUGCUUGUCCAGAAUUGUAACUGCGGAUCCAAAAUGGCCGACAUCGACACACAACACUGCCGUUGAAUUAAAGCAUGUUGUGUGGAUUGUGAGCUCCAACCAUUAUAAAAUGAAUGACCAUUUUAAGGGGUUUAUUUUGUUUAUAAAAAAAAAAAUAAUCCAGAAGAUUUGUGAAAAGGAGGAUUUACGAAGUUUCUAGUUUACUCUCAAUCAUUCAUCCAUCCUACGUUCCUAUCCAUUUAUUUGUUGUCUUUCCUUUCUAUUUCUGAUGUGACUUCUUGAUCGACUCAUCCGUUUGUCUCUCGUUCUCUCUAUCAUUUUUUCCUCCUCUUUGAGACAACAGACGUCCUCCGAAAGCCAAUCCAACCCCAUUCACUCAAUCAAUCAACUGUUGUGCGUUUGUGAAAUGAUGUAAAUGAUUGGUGUGUGAGGCUAGUGUGUGUUGAAACAGAAAUAAGGGCUCUCCUAACAAACUAAAGGGGUUUCAUGUGCAGGUACAGUAGUGCUGACAAAAGUCAUCUGUAUGUAUCUCAAACCAUACAGUGGUGUGGUCUCCCCUUGUACAGCACUAGGUGUGUGCAUGCGUGUGUGUUGGGGUCAAAGGGUUAGAGGUCAAAGGUCAGGGUGAGAGCGGGGGGGGGGCACGUUCCGCUGAGGUGAAACGUUCUGGAAAAGAACAGAUAGAAAUGUAAUGAAUAGAGCUGACACGACACCCUUUUCUGUCAGUCUGACAAGCAUAUCCGUUCUACUUGAUGCAUUUCUAUCUGAAUGUUUUCUGUAACAUUUGCACCCUCCUGAACAGACCCCGGUUAGAAGUAGUGUCACAAGUCACAUUAUUUCACAAAUGGCACUGGAACGUUCUUGGAUCAUUUUCUAGCUCCGCCUUCUUCCGCUUGCCAAUACAGCCUUCAUUAUGAUGUCAUCAGCUGCCAUUUUCUCAUUGACCUCCACCUGCAUCCCCCAGCUCAUUUUGGAGUGGAGGGUCACCAACCUCAUCAGGGAUGGGUUUACUGGCAUGACAGUGAGACAUUCCCCUGUGUGUUGUGUUCGUGUGUGUUUGCUACGUUUGUGUGUGUGUGUGUGUGUGUGUGUGUGUGUGUGUGUGUGUGUGUGUGUGUGUGUGUGUGUGUGUGUGUGUGUGUGUGUGUGUGUGUGUGUGUGUGUGUGUGUGUGUGAGAGUGAGAGAGUGUGUGCGUGCGUGCAUGUGUGAGAGCGUGCGUGCGUGUGAGUGAGUGCGUGCGUGCGUGCGUGAGUGCGUGUGUUCACACCUCAUCUACAGUAAGUUAUCUUCAGUGCCUUACACUGUACAGUAGGAACCAAAUCUCCUUUGUAGAUAGACAACACACACAGCACUGAAUAACGCUUUCAUAAUGUUUCCAUAACGUUUUCUCUCCAACUGUACUCUUCUCUCCAUCCAGUAUUGCCUCACCUCACCUACCAUCCUAUUCCUUCUCUCUCUGUGAUCGACAAGUAAGGUCUGGAGGGAGGGCAUGGGUGAAUGAAUAGGUGAUCGUUGUGUUGGAUCUGUCAUCCUUCUCUUUCUCUCUCUGUACAUUUGCUCUGUAAACUCUUCUUGUGUACAUCUUCCAUAAACUUUCUGAAACAAUCAGACCAUGUCCAUCUAUUUUCUCUUUUAUCGCCGCUCAAUUUAUUUUUCAACAUUUACAUUUCAAUCAUUUAGUAGAUGCUCUAAUCCAGAGCGACAUAGUGUCUACAACAUCACUCCCACUCUUCAAUUGUGCUUGAAGUCUCACUCAAGUAAUGUCCAUGUACAUGUUAUACCAUACAUGAACACAAGGUGGUGCACUCGUGCUUUUAACAGAGUGUACAUUGGUCGACAUAACGUAACAUUCAAAGGCCUAUGUGUAUGUUGUCAUUACAUUGCUUUCGCAGGUGAACGGGUGAGUAUCGUGUGUGUAUGUGCGCAUGUGCAUGUUUGGAGGCUUCAGUGAGUGUGUGUGUGUGUGCGUGUGCGUGCGUGUGUGUGUGUGUGUGUGUGCGUGUGCGUGCGUGUGUGUGUGUGCGUGCGUGUGUGUGUGUGUGUGUGUGUGUGUGUGUGUGUAUCUUUACGUGACAACACACACACAGCGACAACACCAAGAUUCUUGACGACCGUGGGUUGAUUCCCUAGAUAUGUGUGGAGCGUCUUCUACUGUCACAAUGGAAACCCUCAAGGCCCGUCACUCUUCAUUCCAUAAAGUCUCCCAACCAUCACAUUAUAAUAUCACAAUACCAUCAAUUUGUCCCAUAGACACUGAUAUGAGAUCCGUUUUCAGUGUUAACCUCCUUAUGGUGAAGCAUAGGAGUGAGGUGGGGUGAAUCUACAGUAGAAACCAUACCAUAUCAGUCCAGUGCCACAGUAGAGAACCAUACAGGACAGGAGUCAUUUUAGGAAGCAAGAAGAGAAAAUACACUACAUACACUACAUGGCAAUUUAAGGUAAAAAGAGAAGUAUUUAAAUAACAGAUUUGCAUGUGCAAUGUGCAUGCCACUACGUGGGGUUAAAUAAGUCAACUUCAGGAAUAAAAUUAAAAAAUAAUAUAAAGAGAAAAAAUAAAGUAUAUAUAUAUAUGUAUAAAUAUAUAUAGAUAGAUGUUUUUAAGAGCAAUGUGUUCCUUUUUCUUCUAUUUUUAAAAACAAAAAACUGGAGAAAAAAACUUGGACAAAAAAAAAUAGAUAGAAAAUCUUUAAAAAGAAGCAGAACUUUGGUGAUGUAAUCAAAGAAUGUUUUUGUUUGCUACUUGCCAGUUAUUUCACUAAAGAGGGGGAACUGCGACGGCGGGGCGGUAGACGAUUUAACACUUUAAACAAAAUGUUGAAACAUUACAUUACAACAACAAAAAUGAAGAAAAGAUAAAUAAAAGAUAAACGUGGAAUGAAGGAAUACAUUUUUCCUUAAAGAAAAACAAAAAUCCCUUGAUUGAGAGUCUUGAGAGCUGCCUCAUGAUUCUAUUUCUGAUUUUACCCGUUUAUUCUGGCUAUGAAAUCUCUUUCUCUCUCUAUCUCUCUGCUAUUUCUACCAGUGCAUUUUGUUACUCCGAACAGAACUCUUCCUAAGGAACCUGAAUAAAACCAGAGAGAAUGCAUUCUACC